rnacentral:rRNA from 1 species
AUGAACGCUGGCGGCGUGCCUAAUACAUGCAAGUCGAGCGAACGGACGAGAAGCUUGCUUCUCUGAUGUUAGCGGCGGACGGGUGAGUAACACGUGGAUAACCUACCUAUAAGACUGGGAUAACUUCGGGAAACCGUAGCUAAUACCGGAUAAUAUUUUGAACCGCAUGGUUCCAAAGUGAAAGACGGUCUUGCUGUCACUUAUAGAUGGAUCCGCGCUGCAUUAGCUAGUUGGUAAGGUAACGGCUUACCAAGGCAACGAUGCAUAGCCGACCUGAGAGGGUGAUCGGCCACACUGGAACUGAGACACGGUCCAGACUCCUACGGGAGGCAGCAGUAGGGAAUCUUCCGCAAUGGGCGAAAGCCUGACGGAGCAACGCCGCGUGAGUGAUGGAGGUCUUCGGAUCGUAAAACUCUGUUAUUAGGGAAGAACAUAUGUGUAAGUAACUGUGCACAUCUUGACGGUACCUAAUCAGAAAGCCACGGCUAACUACGUG